UUAUGCUAUUUCUCUAUGGUAAUAAACUCUAUGCCUUAGUUGUGAUUCUUGAUCGCCUUUAUUCUUUCCUUUUUUUGGGACUCUCUAUGGUGUCCAUCUUAUUGGAGAGGAGGUUCAAGGAAUGUGAGGUGAGCGGUAACUUUGAUUUAUUAAUUAAAUUCAUUUAUACUUAAUCCACUUUGUUGUAGCGCGCAGGUCAUAAUUAAUUGAAAGCUGAUAGCUAUUAGUGCCUAUCUAGCCUAUGUACUCGGGUUCGAAGAAGCC
rnacentral:misc_RNA from 1 species